rnacentral:rRNA from 1 species
GUGAGGAAUAUUGGACAAUGGGUGGAAGCCUGAUCCAGCCAUCCCGCGUGUAGGAAGACGGCCCUAUGGGUUGUAAACUACUUUUAUCUGGGGAUAAACCUACUUACGUGUAAGUAGCUGAAGGUACCAGAUGAAUAAGCACCGGCUAACUCCGUGCCAGCAGCCGCGGUAAUACGGAGGGUGCAAGCGUUAUCCGGAUUUAUUGGGUUUAAAGGGUCCGUAGGCGGACUGAUAAGUCAGUGGUGAAAUCCGACAGCUUAACUGUCGAACUGCCAUUGAUACUGUUAGUCUUGAGUAAGGUUGAAGUGGCUGGAAUAAGUAGUGUAGCGGUGAAAUGCAUAGAUAUUACUUAGAACACCAAUUGCGAAGGCAGGUCACUAAGUCUUAACUGACGCUGAUGGACGAAAGCGUGGGGAGCGAACAGGAUUAGAAACCCUGGUAGUCC